CAGUAGCCGCGGGAACACGUAGGUGGCAAGCGUUGUCCGGAAUUAUUGGGCGUAAAGGGCUCGCAGGCGGUUUCUUAAGUCUGAUGUGAAAGCCCCCGGCUCAACCGGGGAGGGUCAUUGGAAACUGGGAAACUCGAGUGCAGAAGAGGAGAGUGGAAUUCCACGUGUAGCGGUGAAAUGCGUAGAGAUGUGGAGGAACACCAGUGGCGAAGGCGACUCUCUGGUCUGUAACUGACGCUGAGGAGCGAAAGCGUGGGGAGCGAACAGGAUUAGAUACCCCGGUAGUCCCUGUCUCUUAUAA
rnacentral:rRNA from 1 species